rnacentral:rRNA from 1 species
CACGUAGGGUGCGAGCGUUGUCCGGAAUUAUUGGGCGUAAAGAGCUCGUAGGCGGUCUGUCGCGUCGGCUGUGAAAACUCGGGGCUCAACCCCGAGCCUGCAGUCGAUACGGGCAGACUAGAGUGCGGUAGGGGAGACUGGAAUUCCUGGUGUAGCGGUGAAAUGCGUAGAUAUCAGGAGGAACACCUGCGGUGUAGACGGCUUACUGGACCGUAACUGACGCUGAGGCACGAAAGCGUGGGUAGCAAACAGG